GUUCCGCUAGCUCAGUAGGUAGAGCAUUUGACUUUUAAUCAAAGGGUCCGGAGUUCGAAUCUCCGGCGGGACACCA
rnacentral:tRNA from 1 species